rnacentral:tRNA from 1 species
CAGGAAAUAGUUUAUAAAAAUAUUAAUUUUGGAGAUUAAAGAUAGAAAAAUUUUUCUUUUCCUGA